CUGGAAAUGAGAUGAGGAGGAGAAAGACCUGGGUAUAUAAUUGAUUAUAGGAUGACUGAGAACGUGUCCGUUAAAAGCAAAUGCAAUCCUUGGAUGUAUCAGCUCACUUGCAGAGAGGUAGAAGGAACUCUCCUCAACCAAUGGGCUCAGAACAUUCCUCUCUUAAAGAACAGUGAUGCUUGAGAGAAGACCCGCAAAGCACAGUAAUUGGACCAAAGCCAUUUAUCAACUUCGUAGAUCCAGACCUUGCAGUUUCCUUGCUUUUCCAGUGCCUGGCCAAGGACUUCAGUAAGAAUGAACUGGCUGAGACUCCAUCCACCCAAGAGAG